UGAUCACCAUUAGGUCCCUUUACCUGACAAUUUCAAAAAAAGUUGAAACACUAUAGGCAUGUCUGGUUGGAAUAAUAGACAGCACACUAAGGACUAAUGGAACCAAGUCUAUAAAUUAUCUCCUCAACCAUAUGCAAUAUCCUAUUAAUUAUGCCCAUUGCAUACUUGAUGAUAUAAUUAAUAAACUUGGCCAAAAAUUAAAAAAGACCAUCGCUUGGAUUUUCUGGAUAACCAUGAUCUAUUGUAAGGUACAAAACUGGAAUUCCAAAUAGAAAAUUUCUUUUCAAACACCUUACGCUUUUGGUCUCUAGAAGAUUAAAAUAAGAGGUGUGACUACAAGUAUCAUAGAAAAAAGUAAAUAAAAAGAUGAAGAAGAAGAAGA
rnacentral:misc_RNA from 1 species